rnacentral:rRNA from 1 species
UACGUAGGGAGCAAGCGUUGUCCGGAAUUACUGGGCGUAAAGGGCGCGUAGGCGGCACUGUUAGUCAGGCGUGAAAGUCCUGGGCUCAACCUGGGAACUGCGCUUGAUACGGCAGAGCUAGAGGAUGGAAGAGGCUCGCGGAAUUCCCAGUGUAGAGGUGAAAUUCGUAGAUAUUGGGAAGAACACCGGUGGCGAAGGCGGCGAGCUGGUCCAUUACUGACGCUGAGGCGCGACAGCGUGGGGAGCAAACAGG